GGGUGGGGAAGGGCCGGGCGGGGAGGGAGAACCGGGUAGGGUGGAGAAGGGCCGGGUGAGCAAGGAGCCUGGGGCCGGGCCCGGCUGAGGCGAGGCGGGGCCCUGUGAGAGGAGCCGGCGGUCUCGCAGCUGGAAGAGCCCUCGGUGCUUUCAGGGAUGCGGGAUGCCACCUGGCCCCAUCAGGCAUCUCCUGGCCCGUCCGCGGUGCCCCGCGUGGAGCAGCCGAUCUUCCUGUCUGGGCCUUGUUGUGCUGCAGAAGCCAGUUGCCAACUGCCCCUUCAUUCAAGUGAGCAGAAGGAAUAAAUUUACAUCUCAUCCUUGUGAGUUCAAGAAAUCUCACGUUGAUAUGGGGGAUUCCCCAAGCCAUGUGGGAGCAAGACGGGGGAAUCAAACGUGUAUUUAUGCAUUUUGAUGUCACGUGGGCAGAGCUACAGACUGUGGAGUGAACUCCUGGAGAAAUUAUUAUGAAAAAUCAGUGUCCUGAGCAGCAGAGGUUUGGGCUGUGGCUUAAUUUGGUGGUGAGUGGACAUAACAGCCGUGAGCAGAGCUGGCAGGAGACCAGGUGGGUGCAGAAUGUCAUCUCCAGAGUGCGUUUGUACGUGGAGAUGAGUGCUGGUGUGAUGCAGCCUUUCCCGUGUCCUUUUUCUUGGGCAUGCCUUUAGCUGGGUGUUGCCUAGCAGAGCAUGUUUAAUGCCCUAUUAGAUCUUAUGCCUUGUCAGCACAGGAUUAGCAAUCUGAGUUUUGCAAUGGCCCGGUGAGCAAGCAUUGUGUAGUUGCUGUUCCUGAAAGGCCAUUAGGGUGUUUAUGAAGAUUUUAAUAAAAUAUUUAUCUAAGAAAUGGAUGUCAAGGGACAGCUUAUUUUAUAAUGAAGGCGAUAUUUGAUCCGGGUCCCAUUUACAAGAUGUUUUCAUGUGCUUUUCAGGAAUCUUUUAAAAGCACAGACAACGUGCAUUCCUUCUUACUCAUCUUGAUUUUUGCAUCUCAGGAGAAGUAAGGGGGGAGGUAAAUGUAGCAAAUUGCUUUGUUACUCAAGGUAUAGAGCUGAGAAGAAAUUUUUGCUCAUUUUUGCCAGCACUGAUGGUUCUUUCUGUAUUGCUGCCUUUACGAGGAGGUUGCCACUAUUCAGAAGGCAUGAAUGUGUCAGAAUAAGUGGCUCUGUCUCACUAGGAUGCUGAAUAAAACAAGAUGUUUUGCCUCUGGGCAAAGCAGAUUGUAAAGCUAGGUUUUCAUAACCUACUCUUCUUCCUCUUUCAGGUGAAGCAGUUGGUGUUCUGCUUCCUGUUUUCCUUCCCUCAUGUCUCUGAGCUGAUUGAAGAAGGUUUUAGCAAGAAACUCGUGUUUCAAAACAACGUACUUUCAGGUCGCAGCCAGAGAACAUCUAAUCACAUCCUCCAUAGGCUUAUGGUACGUGAUGCGGUUGAGAGGGUGUUUGGUUUUGCUUUGAACUUAGCUACAAAUAACGCCUUGUGAUUCAGCCUGUAACAGAUCUCCUCUAAGAUUAAGUUCACGGGCUGGAUCUGAACUGUGCUGAAGUCCAGAUGUGAAUCUGCUUUCUUCAGGGCCUUAGUUGUAGUGGCAUUUAUUUUUUUUUUCGAAAGAAAACCUUUCUCUAGGACUUACUCUGUGUCAUUUACAUCCUUCACUGGAUCCUGGCUACAGAGUACUUUCAAGGAUCAUGAGCUUAGCCUUUCUUGUGUUUGGUUUCUGUUCUACAUUACGAGGAUUAGUGAUGGUCACCACCUGUACAGAAUAUUUUGAUCUGUAUCCAAAGCAUGAUUGGUGUCUACUGAGUAAUUAUCUCUCUCUUUACUUGAACUUGCACUGAAACCGUUUGCACAGUGCAAUUGCUAACUCUAACUUCUCUCAGAAGUCCUUUAUCAUAAAACAAUUAUUUUUCUGAGUGAUCAUGAUUUUCACAUAAAAAACUACACAUGGCAAAGCGAAUGCCUUCUGUGUCAGCCAGUGAGUAAUGGACUCUUUGUGGGCACGAUCAGGAAAUGUGCCUUUUGUUUCCCUGCACCUGUUGCUGUACUACAAAUAAAAUCAUCCAAUGUUUUAUUAAAUAAAAUGAGAAGCCCUAAUGAAAUUGUACCAGCCAUUACCAGGAAGUCUAUUGAAAACAUUCAGCAGCUGCUCACUGUGAGUUCGUUUACACUGAUAGGGUUGUUUUGUCUUCCUCCUUAUGUGCUAAGUGGGGAAGCUACAGUGCAGCCUUAGCAAACAGCAGAGCUUUGGCCCAUUUUAUAGCUCUAACUCCUUUUAAAGUGCUUGCUCAGAAUCUGUAAUAAGUCCUGAUCAACCGUUAAGUGUGACUUGCGCAAGUUUGUUAGCAAGCGUCCUGUCUCUUACAGCUAAGUGUUCUCCAAACUACAGCACAGUGGCAAAGCAGGUAAGGAUCUACUGUGUUCUUCUCAUUUUAUAGAGUGGGGUUGUUUCAGAGAGGCCGAGAAUCAAGUCAGUCAACCCUGUGAAAUCCUCUGGAGUGAGCUGGGGGUCACCCUCGUUUAACACACACAUGUGCCACCAGUCGUUCUCUAAAGGCCCAUAACAGAACUGACCUCUCUCUCUCUCUCUCCUGUAUUUAUAAGCUGAUGAGUCUGUCAAGUAGCUGUGCUGGCAAGUAGAUGGGGACCCUUGCACAGAACAGACUAGUUCCUAGCAAGAGUUGCCUGAUUUAAAAAAAAGCUAACCCUAUUGAUAAUCUCCACGCUAAAUGCUGAACAGUAUAUUUUAUAUUAAAACUCCUCAGAAGUUGCGUCAUAACCAUAGCUGCUUUGUGUGCAGGAAAAUGGUUGGUGAAGACUUUCUGGUAAAAAUAGCGUAAUAAAAAAAAGUGUUCAAACUUGCGUGAUGCAAACCUUUCUAGGUCUGCUUUCAAAAAUACCUCAGAUGCAAAGCAGUUGAAUGAAACAUCAGCCGAGCAGCAAGUGAGGCAGCCCUCCCUUCCCACAGCAGCGCAGAAGGCAGCAGCUGCCCGUGAGCAGCAUGAGGCCCUGCGGUCCCUGAGCAUCUCCUGCCGCAGCCCUCCUUCUGUACUGCAGAGUUCCCUUCCCUUUUGGUGGGAGCAGAAGCAUUAUCUCAGAGCCUGUCUCCUGUUCUGUUUGUGAUGUUACAGAUUUGUGCAUCUCCUCUGAAUUUAUCCCAGUGUGACCCAUGAAGAAUUUAGACUCGAGCAUAAGAAAGCGAAGCGAAUACAGCCUUCCAGAACUCGAGCCAAGGCGAGGAGCUCCUUCAGCAGGGCUGGCCCCAAAAAGCCCAGGUGCCUGGUGUCCCUCCAUGAAAGGGAGGACUUGGUACAAAUUAGGGUUAAUUGAAAGCCCUGUGUCUAACCCCAGCUGAUGGCAGUGAUAGGCCCACCUGGUGGUGGAGGAGCUGCUCUGCCCUCACUGUGGUGGCUCCAUGGAAGAAAAUGGUAGGUGCUGACACUUCACUCUCCCACAGUGGUCUUUGUUUUUUUUUUUCCCCCAGGUGGUAUUUAGGUUUAUUUUAUCUUGGAAAUUGCUUAGGUUUGUGGCUGAAGGAGAUGAAUUGUGGUGCAGGGAUAGUGAAGGGGAAGCAGCUUAGCAACUGCACGAGGGGAGAAAAGGGCAGGGCACAGCUGCCUGGGGAUGAGCAGGAAUUACCCUUAAACUGAGCUCACCUGGACUCAAUCUGCCAACAGAUCCAACUGGGGGCCUGACGGGGAUGUCCAGCUCCUGCCAGUAACAGAGCUGUAUCUGGAAGGUGUUCCUCUGUUGCCCAGUGCUUUUGAUGCCAACUGUUACCCUGCACUCUGGAAGUUAAGUCAACACCGGUAAGAAGAAAGUUACUUUGAAAUACCUGAUGUAAAAGUGGCCUGAUAAAAAAACCAAACGUUGGACUUCACCUGCUGAUAAAACGAAGAUGACUGACACUUACCAACAGCAAGAAGAAGAAUACUGGCUACAAAACAGCCUGCACCUACACUGAGGUAAUAAACACCAACACGCAUUUCUGCUGGCCAGAGUGGAAAC